CCUAGUAACGGCGAGUGAAGCGGCAACAGCUCAAAUUUGAAAUCUGGCUCCUUCGGGGCCCGAGUUGUAAUUUGCAGAGGAUGCCUCGGGUGCGGGUAACCUACCGAGUUCCCUGGAACGGGACGCCAUAGAGGGUGAGAGCCCCGUCUGGUAGGACACCCAGCCCGUGUGAGGCUCCCUCGACGAGUCGAGUAGUUUGGGAAUGCUGCUCUAACGGGAGGUAUACUCCUUCCAAGGCUAAAUACCGGCUGGAGACCGAUAGCGCACAAGUAGAGUGAUCGAAAGAUGAAAAGCACUUUGAAAAGAGAGUCAAAUAGCACGUGAAAUUGUUGAAAGGGAAGCGCUCGCUACCAGACUUGGGUUAGGCGGUUCAACCGGGGCCACGCCCCGGGGCACUCCGCCUGCCCAGGCCAGCAUCAGCUUUCCGUCGGGGGUAAAGGCGUCGGGAAUGUGGCUCUCCUUCGGGGGAGUGUUAUAGCCCGUCGCGUCAUACCCUUCGGGGGGCUGAGGUACGCGCUUCUGCAAGGAUGCUGGCGUAAUGGUAGCUAGUGACCCGUCUUGAAACACGGACCAAGGAGUCAACCUUAUGUGCGAGUGCCCGGGCGUAAAACCCCAGCGCGGAAUGAAAGUGAACGUAGGUGAGAGCUUCGGCGCAUCACCGACCGAUCCUGAUGUCCUCGGACGGAUUUGAGUGAGAGCAUAUAGG
rnacentral:rRNA from 1 species